GACGAACGCUGGCGGCGUGCUUAACACAUGCAAGUCGAACGGAAAGGCCCUUCGGGGUACUCGAGUGGCGAACGGGUGCGUAACACGUGGGUGAUCUUCCCUUCACUUUGGGAUAAGCCUGGGAAACUGGGUCUAAUACCGAAUAGGACCACGCGCUUCAUGGUGUGUGGUGGAAAGCUUUUGCGGUGGGGGAUGGGCCCGCGGCCUAUCAGCUUGUUGGUGGGGUAAUGGCCUACCAAGGCGACGACGGGUAGCCGGCCUGAGAGGGUGACCGGCCACACUGGGACUGAGAUACGGCCCAGACUCCUACGGGAGGCAGCAGUGGGGAAUAUUGCACAAUGGGCGCAAGCCUGAUGCAGCGACGCCGCGUGAGGGAUGACGGCCUUCGGGUUGUAAACCUCUUUCAAUAGGGACGAAGCGCAAGUGACGGUACCUAUAGAAGAAGCACCGGCCAACUACGUG
rnacentral:rRNA from 1 species